UAGGGAAUCUUCCGCAAUGAGCGAAAGCCUGACGGAGCAACGCCGCGUGAGUGAUGAAGGUCUUCGGAUCGUAAAACUCUGUUAUUAGGGAAGAACAAAUGUGUAAGUAACUAUGCACAUCUUGACGUUACCUAAUCAGAAAGCCACGGCUAACUACGUGCCAGCAGCCGCGGUAAUACGUAGGUGGCAAGCGUUAUCCGGAAUUAUUGGGCGUAAAGCGCGCGUAGGCGGUUUUUUAAGUCUGAUGUGAAAGCCCACGGCUCAACCGUGGAGGGUCAUUGGAAACUGGAAAACUUGAGUGCAGAAGAGGAAAGUGGAAUUCCAUGUGUAGCGGUAAAAUGCGCAGAGAUAUGGAGGAACACCAGUGGCGAAGGCGACUUUCUGGUCUGUAACUGACGCUGAUGUGCGAAAGCGUGGGGAUCAAACA
rnacentral:rRNA from 1 species